GAAGGUUCAUGAGUUGAUGUACUAGAUGGAGAAGUACGGUUCAGAAUCUGCAGGAGAGGAAAUUUAGCAGCCUGACCGAACUAAUGAAAUUGUUGCAACACUUGGGUUAUUUUCUGGAGAGGAUGGCAAAGAGGGGGCCCAGAAAAUCACCAGUUCUGAACUACAAGAGUACAGACCAUUGACCAAGGAAAAAGAAGAGGAUUAUAUCAAGCGCGCCAUUGAAUAGUCGCUGCUAUCCCAGCCUGGGCCAUAGCUGUCCCAUGAGCCCUCGAUGUCGCUUGAUUGCUGAAGGCCGACAAGGCCACCGCGCCGAUGGGGUUGUCUUCACCACUGACGACAAUGUUGUGCAUCCAACGAAGGAAACAAUAGUUCAUCCAGAUCCGGGGCCCUCAAUCAAGGGAAGGACAUGGCCAUUUUUUCUUCUGACCAUGAAGACGACUACUGGGGCUAAAGAUUAUCAGGUCGUAAGAAAAGUAUUAAGGAGCUGUCCUACCAUACUGUCCUACUAUCCACUUCUACGCUUUAUUAGUAAAUAUUUGUUCUGUUUUAGGUUUGAGUAAAUCCAUGGCUUGCAGUAAACUGAUAUCUCCCUGACUUCCUGUACGAAUGUGGUGAGUUACAACAAACUCAAAGGAUCAGCAAAUGAGCAGAAUGUGACGAGUUACAUUUUAUUCUCGUGGACCAUGAGGGAAACACAAUGGAAGGACACAUACCAGGCAAACGUACAGAUCAGUUCAAGGACCCCCUAAAAGAAGGUUCAGUGUAAUACCAUAUAGAACUUCAUCUUUGCAGAUGCACGAAAGAAAUACAGGACAACGGAUCAGCAGUAUAGAUUCAAAUUUACUCAGCGCACCAAGGAUGCCAGCUCCACCUCUGAAAAAGAAAAGGAAGGCCAAAGCAUUGGCUACUACACCAAGCAAAAGCAGAUUAACAAAGAGCUCUUACAGCGACAGGUAAACACCAGACUUCAAUACAAUUGAAAGAGCUGCAGCAUCGUUGCCAAGAAAAUGGUAAUUUUAGUCUCCUUUUCCUUUUAGCAGCAAAAGUCAGCCAAAAACGGAUCAGCUUUGCUGAAAAAUCCGAGACAAAAAGAAAUGAAGCAGCAAAGACAAAGACUGAGCGCAUUGGCAGAUUAUCCAUGUUCAGAUACCAUUUGAUAGUCUGCUGCUAAUAUGGUUUCAACAAAUUAUUACCAUUCUCAUUUUCAACAAAAAAAAAAUAGAAGUUUACCCUUCAACAUACUUAUUUUAGUUUUGAAAUUUUGUGUUCCCAGUGUGAGUUGUCAACAAUAACUAAAGAAAACUAUCUACUGAUAGUUUGGGUUCUAUAUAUUCCAGAUUAUCUGUGCUACUCCUACUAUAAAGUCUUGAUUCUGAAAUCUAUAUGCCCAAAUAUCUUAGCUAACUAUUUUCUGUGCAUACAUUGCCUUUUUCAUUCAAAUCACCAUACCUGAACACUAA